rnacentral:rRNA from 1 species
GACGAACGCUGGCGGCGUGCCUAAUACAUGCCAGUAGAACGCUGAAGAGAGGAGCUUCCUCUUCUUGGAUGAGUUGCGAACGGGUGAGUAGCGCGUAGGUAACCUGCCUUGUAGCGGGGGAUAACUAUUGGAAACGAUAGCUAAUACCGCAUAACAAUGGAUGACACAUGUCAUUUAUUUGAAAGGGGCAAUUGCUCCACUACAAGAUGGACCUGCGUUGUAUUAGCUAGUAGGUGAGGUAAUGGCUCACCUAGGCGACGAUACAUAGCCGACCUGAGAGGGUGAUCGGCCACACUGGGACUGAGACACGGCCCAGACUCCUACGGGAGGCAGCAGUAGGGAAUCUUCGGCAAUGGGGGCAACCCUGACCGAGCAACGCCGCGUGAGUGAAGAAGGUUUUCGGAUCGUAAAGCUCUGUUGUAAGUCAAGAACGGGUGUGAGAGUGGAAAGUUCACACUGUGACGGUAGCUUACCAGAAAGGGACGGCUAACUACGUG